rnacentral:lncRNA from 1 species
CUUUUCAGCAUCUCUGCAGGACAGAGACUCUCUGGUUGAUGCAAAAAUCAACAUCUAUACAAGACAUGAAGGAGAAGACAUCACUGCUAGAUGUUACCUUAAAUUUUUAGGGAGCAGAAGUCUGUUCUGUAAGGAAACAUGUGAAGAAGGAAACAUUCUCAUAGACACAGAUAAAUAUGAAUAUAAGAAAGGAAGAUGCAGCAUAAAAUUUGAACGUCGCUUUACUAGUUCAAGUAUUCUAGAUGUGACGAUCACUAAUCUCCCAAAGUCAGACUCAGGUUUGUACAGAUGUGAGUUUCGUGGAGGAUUGAUUCCAGUUUCAGAAGACACAUUUAAAAUUAUUGUUACAGAAGCUUCAUCACCAUCCUGGACUGUUGAACUUUUUCUGACAACACAAAUCUCUUCAGUCAUGACAGCAACAACACAGAGUUUAAACUCUGUAACAUCCUCACAUGAAAGUAAAACCACAAAUACACAACCAGGUCUGCAGCUGUGUGUCCGUCUGGUUCUGAUGGGCGUCAUCUUCAUAUCUUCAGCUACUUUGAUGGUUUUCUUCAUGAAAAAAAGAUCCAAACAAAAUAAAGGACCUUCAGUAGAAAUGCAGCAUUUCUCCAUCACACAGGACAACCCCGAGUACGAGGAGAUCAGGGAGGAGGACAAAAACAGAAGAUCAUCCUCUGUGGAAAUAUCUACUGUAAUCCAGCCUCUACCAAACUGAUCUUCUAAAAUCAACUCCACAUCUGCCUGUCAUCAAGCAGAAAGGGAUUUUCUCUGCUCUCUGGAAUAAGGAAGUCGCAUUUUGUUCAGGACAAAAAUGCUCGUAUUGGAUUGGAGUUUUUCCCCCACUUAUCCAGUCGCUGAAAACGUCACCUAUCCAAAGCUGAGUUCCUAAUUGGCAGAUACAGUGAUUAGCCUCACAGAAGGCCCUGGUUCAAAUCCCAGCUGGAGGAUCAGAAACACCGACUGGGACCUUUCUGUGUGGAGUUUGCAUGUUCUCCCCGUGCAUAGGUGGGUUUUCACCGGGUAAAUAUUCCUCAGUUUAAAAAUAUGUUUAGGAGAAUCAAUUUGGAAAGUUAUGCCAAUAGUAAUUGAUUUUUAUUUUCCGAUUUAACUUUAUUUUUGUUUAUUUUAUUGUAAUGCUCGCGAAUGGCCAACACCAGGGCCAUCUAUACUAUGUAUAUUUGUUAAUAUGUACAAGGAUUUAUCAAGGGGAGGCACAAACUAAGAACAUUAUUUUUCCGUCUGCUUCCUUUCAUUCAUGAAGAUGUAGGAAUGUGUUGUAUUCC